CCUACGGGAGGCAGCAGGCGCGAAAACUUUACACUGCGGGAAACCGCGAUAAGGGGACCCCGAGUGCCAGUACCUAGUGCUGGCUGUCCCGCUGUCCAAACAACAGUGGUUAGCAAGGGCCGGGCAAGACCGGUGCCAGCCGCCGCGGUAACACCGGCGGCCCGAGUGGUAGCCGUUAUUAUUGGGUUUAAAGGGUCCGUAGCCGGCUUAUUAAGUCUCUUGGGAAAUCUGGCGGCUCAAUCGUCAGGCAGCCAAGAGAUACUGGUAGGCUUGGGACCGGGAGAGGUGGGAGGUACUCCAGGGGUAGGGGUGAAAUCUCGUAAUCCUUGGGGGACCACCGAUGGCGAAGGCAUCCCACCAGAACGGGUCCGACGGUGAGGGACGAAAGCUGGGGGCACGAACCGGAUUAGAUACCCCGGUAGUCCAAGCCGAAUUCCAGCACACUGGCGGCCGUUACUAGUGGAUCCGAGCUCGGUACC
rnacentral:rRNA from 1 species